GUAAGGGUUUGCGUGGGAAAGCAGGGGCCAAAGGAGACAAAGGAGAUCAUGGUAAGAUGGCCAAGCAGGGUUACCUGGUCCCAUUGGAAUUGAUGGUGUUCCAGGCUUCCCAGGUCAAAAGGGAUAUAAGGGAGAGGAGGGGAUCGGGGUUCGCGUGUCCAGGGCCCUCGUGGAGAGUCAGGGGAGAAGG